AAAGUAGACAGCAAAAUAAUCCCACCGUGCAGAAGAUGUAGUUUUAAAUGUAGAAAAUUAACAUUGCAAUUUCUGUUAUUCAAAAAAUUAAAUUCUUUCUUAUGUUAGAGUUUAAAGGGCUGUGGGGACAAUGAUGUAGUCAGUGAUGCUGAGAAUUUUUUUGUAUUUUUAUAAAUUAUUUCUUAAGGAAAUACAUACGGCAGACUGUAAUUGUGGAUUCAUAAUUGGCUAUUUCCUCAUUUUGGGUCACUAUAGAUGAAGCUGAACUCGGACGUGGUAUAUACGAGACGUAAAGUGGAAAUUGAGAAACUUUCUGAGGACAGUUGCGCUGUGGUCGCUGCUCCCUCACGAGAUGGAAAACCCAUCACUCCUCCACCACGAGCUCCUAAAUCACACGUCAGCACACGGGUUCUGCAUGAGACGGGGGCCUCGAAUGAGCAGCAGGUCCUGGAAAUGAGCAGCAGCUGCAGAACUACAGCGGUGUGUUGCUAGAAGUGCGGAGCACCGAGCGAUUACUGAGUGAUGGUCACUGUUCUCACCAGGUGGGAUUGCUUACCAUCUGGAUGGAAUAUGGGCACACAAACAAACAAGCAAGCCAAGUAGUUCUGCUGAGUGCCUCAUACCAGCAUGAUAGAUAUUAGAAAGUUAAUUUACUAUGCUACAGUGAGCGAAACCAGUCACAGAGGUUAAGGUUGCAGCAACGGCACUAACGGCCAAGGAUGAGCUGUCAGUUACAUCGGCAGCGAAGGUACCUGCACCGUUGUCUAGUGAUGUUAGAGCUGGGUGUGAAAUCAAAGUGGACCUCAGUGGGAUUGCUUCUUUAUGCUCUUCGAACGGAUAUUAGACAUUCAUGC
rnacentral:lncRNA from 1 species